CAGCUCUACCCAUGGCAGAACACUUACUGAAGGGAAAAGAAUGUGACUGUAGAGGCAGCAACGGGAUGUCUGCUUUGCCAGCACUGUUGACUUCAUCCCAAGCUUAAUGAUAUUUUGUAGCUGACUUGCAAAGCCAAUGCCAUCCUCAGAGGGAGCCGGCUCCGAGCCUUGAUCCUUGCUGUGUUACGAAGAAGGCACUUUCCAUGAAC
rnacentral:lncRNA from 1 species